rnacentral:rRNA from 1 species
UACGUAGGGAGCAAGCGUUGUUCGGAUUUACUGGGCGUAAAGUGUGCGCAGGCGGCUGAGCAAGUCGAGUGUGAAAUCCCCGGGCUUAACUUGGGAAUUGCGCUCGAAACUACUUGGCUGGAGUGUGGCAGAGGAAGGUGGAAUUCCACGUGUAGCGGUGAAAUGCGCAGAGUAUCAGGAGGAACACCGAUGGCGAAGGCAGGUCUCUGGGCAUUAACUGACGCUGAGGAGCGAAAGCAUGGGGAGCGAACAGG